UCUCAUGGGUGAGCAAAGAAAGUGGUUUCUUGAGUUGGAAUCUACUACUGGUGAAGAUGAAGUGAA
rnacentral:pre_miRNA from 1 species